CAAAAGUUCAGCAUUUUCUGCAGUUAAAAACCUCCUCGUUUUUCUUAGUGUGCUGUUUCUUCAGAACAGUACAGUCACGGAUGCUUGUGUUGCAGGGUGGUAGAGAACAAGAUGCUGAGUCUUGAGUGCGUUAGUCCUGGGUUUCUUCCCUUCAGGAGCUUUCUGACUACAGUGGACAUCAUCUUCAUUUGAUACUAAGAAGCUUUCAGAGCCUGCCAGCUGUUUUGGACCCCAGCCACCAAGUGCAGUAGGAUGUGUCAGCCCAUGAAUAUUCUUUUUGUUACUGUACCCAAGUUGAAAACACUCAGGUUGACAUCCAAGAACAGACUUGCCCUUCCUCUCUCCAGUUCUCCUUGGUCUAUAGCAGGAAUGCCCCUUACUCUACAGCAGAGCAUCAGCUGCAACUUUGUGGCCACACGCUUGUGUUCACCUUCCACCUGAGGUUCUGGGAAGGAGAUACCCAGCUCCACCUUGACACUGCCUAGGAGGUGCCAUGAAAAUCAAGCAAGAUGUACUACUUUUCAACACUGGAAAACCUUUAAGGGUUCAGACUACAGAACGCAGAGCCCAGUAUGUAUCUGACAUAAUGUUAAACCAGUGUUGAUGCAUCUUGUACAGCUCAUAUAACUCUCAUUUAAAAUGGUUCGACUCAAUUGAUAAAGCAAAGCUUGAAGCCCAGCACUCAGGGAGGCAGAGGCAAACAGAUCUCCGAGGAGUUCAAGGCCAGCCUGGUCUACAAAGCAAGUCCAGGCUACACAGAGAAGCCUUGUCUCACGGAGGGGGAAUAAAUAAAGUUCAGUCACAAAAUUUCA